UAAAAAAUCAAGGCCGUUCGAUGUGAUCACAUUACGCUACACAAUAGAAAUCAAGAAAAAUAGAAGUUCGAUAGGGUGAUUGACAUACCGUGCAAGCACGGCCCUGGUUUUGGCCACUCAAGCACGUGGUUCUUCGUGUCAACUUCGGGUGUAAGAAAGACGUCCUUCUAUUUACGACAUAAGGUAAACUUCUUUUAAGUCUUACGGUUCACGGUCAGUGUCUGUCUUCGGAUACUUCGCUUGCUUGGACAGUUUUCAUGGCGCUAACAGACAUGUCCGUCUUUCUUCCUGUUUUCUUCCUACCAUAUACAUAUUUCAAUAAAAUUAAUUUUCAUUAUGCAUUCCAGGAAGUAAUAUAUAUAUAUAUAUAUAUAUAUGUAUGAGAAAAAAUAGGAACGUUUGCCAUUUUGGCUCAAACUUAAAUUUAUGAUCAAACCCAAUUUUAAAUCAUAUUUGUUCCAAGUUACUUGACGUCGUGCAAUUAAGGAGGAUGAGUCGACAACCGAUUUAAAUUCAAUACUUAAAUAAAAGACGAGUUACUUAUGGCGCAAAAGAAGGGUGGUGAUGACGAAGAAAUUUAAGAAGUAGACAGAGACGAAGGUUGCAGACGUAAAGCAUAAACAGUCGAGGUGCGAUUUGACGCACGCUCGGCCCAUCCAAGGCACAUCUCGCUCGCUGAACGUACGCUUUAAGAAUCCCGAAGAAGCGACCAGCCCGAUGGCUGGAAUCUGUAAAUCUGUCAUUGCGGCCAUAUUCGUGUGGCUGGUACCGCAGGAUAUGAACUUCUGCUCGUCGUAUAUGCCACCAUCGUACGAGACUCUAGAUCUACACGCUUCUCUUCUUUUGAGAGCUUUGCACCGAAACGGAAGCCUCUCCCUAUUUCUCGAAAUAACAAAUAUUCUUUUUGUCUUCACAAAUUUUUUCUUUUUUUCUU